rnacentral:rRNA from 1 species
GACAUAGGUGGCGAACGUUAUCCGGAAUUAUUGGGCGUAAAGGAUGCGUAGAUGGUAGAAUAAGUUAUUGGUCGAUGCCAAACUCAAUUUGGCGGAAGCCAGUAAUACUGUUCUUCUCGAGGGCAGGAGAGGUUGAUGGAAUUCUGUGUGGAGCGGUGAAAUGCGCAGAUAUCAGGAGGAACACCGGUGGCGAAGGCGGGUCUCUGGGCCGAUACUGACGCUGAGGAGCGAAAGCGUGGGGAGCGAACAGG